GGCGAACGCUGGCGGCAGGCUUAACACAUGCAAGUCGAGCGGGCACUUUCGGGUGUCAGCGGCGGACGGGUGCGUAACGCGUGGGAACGUGCCCUCUGGUUCGGAAUAACUCAGGGAAACUUGAGCUAAUACCGGAUACGCCCUUUUGGGGAAAGGCUUGCUGCCGGAGGAUCGGCCCGCGUCUGAUUAGCUAGUUGGUGGGGUAACGGCUCACCAAGGCGACGAUCAGUAGCUGGUCUGAGAGGAUGAUCAGCCACACUGGGACUGAGACACGGCCCAGACUCCUACGGGAGGCAGCAGUGGGGAAUAUUGGACAAUGGGCGCAAGCCUGAUCCAGCCAUGCCGCGUGAGUGAUGAAGGCCUUAGGGUUGUAAAGCUCUUUUAUCCGGGACGAUAAUGACGGUACCGGAGGAAUAAGCCCCGGCUAACUUCGUG
rnacentral:rRNA from 1 species